AACGAACGCUGGCGGCGUGCCUAACACAUGCAAGUCGAACGGGAUUCGGAGCUUGCUCCGAUGAGAGUGGCGCACGGGUGAGUAACGCGUAGAUAAUCUGCCUGAUGAUCUGGGAUAACAGUUCGAAAGGACUGCUAAUACCGGAUAAGCCCACGGAGACCUUGGUCUUUGCGGGAAAAGGGGGGGGACCUUCGGGCCUUCCGUCAUCAGAUGAGUCUGCGUACCAUUAGCUAGUUGGUAGGGUAAAAGCCUACCAAGGCGACGAUGGUUAGCUGGUCUGAGAGGAUGAUCAGCCACACUGGAACUGAGACACGGUCAAGACUCCUACGGGAGGCAGCAGUGGGGAAUUUUGCGCAAUGGGGGAAACCCUGACGCAGCAACGCCGCGUGAGUGAUGAAGGCUCUUGGGUCGUAAAGCUCUGACAGAGGGAAAGAAGUGUAUGGUGGUUAAUACCCAUUAUACUUGACGGUACCCUCAAAGGAAGCACCGGCUAACUCCGUGCCAGCCGCCGCGGUAACAC
rnacentral:rRNA from 1 species